rnacentral:rRNA from 1 species
UACGGAGGGUGCUAGCGUUGUUCGGAAUCACUGGGCGUAAAGGGCGCGUAGGCGGGUCGUUAAGUAGGGGGUGAAAGGCCCAGGGCUCAACCCUGGAAUUGCCUUCUAAACUGGCGGCCUUGAGUAUGGCAGAGGUGUGUGGAACUCCGAGUGUAGAGGUGAAAUUCGUAGAUAUUCGGAAGAACACCAGUGGCGAAGGCGACACACUGGGCCAUUACUGACGCUGAGGCGCGAAAGCGUGGGGAGCAAACAGG